GUGGGGAAUAUUGGACAAUGGGCGCAAGCCUGAUCCAGCCAUACCGCGUGGGUGAAGAAGGCCUUCGGGUUGUAAAGCCCUUUUGUUGGGAAAGAAAUCCUGUCGGUUAAUACCUGGCGGGGAUGACGGUACCCAAAGAAUAAGCACCGGCUAACUUCGUGCCAGCAGCCGCGGUAAUACGAAGGGUGCAAGCGUUACUCGGAAUUACUGGGCGUAAAGCGUGCGUAGGUGGUGGUUUAAGUCCGUUGUGAAAGCCCUGGGCUCAACCUGGGAAUUGCAGUGGUUACUGGAUCACUAGAGUGUGGUAGAGGGAUGCGGAAUUUCUGGUGUAGCAGUGAAAUGCGUAGAGAUCAGAAGGAACAUCCGUGGCGAAGGCGGCAUCCUGGGCCAACACUGACACUGAGGCACGAAAGCGUGGGGAGCAAACAGGAUUAGAUACCCGGGUAGUCC
rnacentral:rRNA from 1 species